UCUCACACACGUUCAGUCUGAGAACAUGACUCCUAUCAGACACAGCUUGUUUCUUUUUGCUCUCUGGAUUAAAGCAGGUCUAACAGAUGGCAGUGACGUCGUCACUCAGACUCCUCUGCUGUGGGUCAACCAGAGUCAGUCCACCACCAUGACCUGCAGUCACAAUAAAGACGCUACUUACUACCAGAUGUACUGGUAUCAGCAGCUGCCGGGUCAGAACAUGAAGCUAAUAGUUUUCACAACACCAUCUCCUCCAUUCCAGUAUGAAAAAGGCUUCAGCAAGGAGAAGUUUCCAGUGGACAGGAAGGACGCUCUGAGCGGAUCUCUGACGGUGAAGCAGCUGCAGCCUGAAGACAGCGGAGUGUAUUUCUGCUCCGUCAGUCAACACAGUGAUGAGGCCGAGUCAAAGAGCUGCACAAAAACCCAGCUGCUGGAGGCACAGUGAAGUUACACUUCAUCGGCAGCAGGGGGAGCUCUCAAUUCAAACUCUGUAGCAUCUCAACAUAUUUACAAAGGGCGGAGUAUUUCAUCUUUUAUAAAUAUUCUUCUAAAAAGGGAAACAACAACAGAGAAAAACAGCUACUUUUUAACAGUAACAGUGAUUUUUCUUUUUUUUUAUUUAUUUAGGGUUUUUUUUUGUUUGUUUUUUUAAAGGUGAAAUAUUGUUGUAAAAGAAAACUCCUGGCAAGGUAAAGUAUCAGAGCUAGAAUUCAAAAUAAACAGCAAUUAGUCACAAAAAAUGCAAAUACCUUCAAACUGAAGUACAUUAGAGAUGCAGCGA